AUACCGGAACGGUCUGGAAAGUCCGGCUACAGAGGGUGAUAGCCCCGUACGGGAAAUUGAGUCGACAGUACUAAGGCUGCGAGAAGUAGGGCGGAACACGUGGAAUUCUGUCUGAAGACGGGGGGACCAUCCUCCAAGGCUAAAUACUAGUGAUCGACCGAUAGUGAACCAGUACUGUGAAGGAAAGGCGAAAAGAACCCCGGGAGGGGAGUGAAAUAGAUCCUGAAACCGCAUACAUACAAACAGUAGGAGCCCGCAAGGGUGACUGCGUACCUUUUGUAUAAUGGGUCAGCGACUUACGUUCAAUGGCGAGCUUAACCGAAUAGGGGAGGCGCAGCGAAAGCGAGUCCGAACAGGGCGACAGGAGUCGUUGGGCGUAGACCCGAAACCAGAUGAUCUAUCCAUGGUCAGGUUGAAGGUGUGGUAACACACACUGGAGGACCGAACCGACUAGUGUUGCAAAAUUAGCGGAUGAACUGUGGAUAGGGGUGAAAGGCUAAACAAAUCUGGAGAUAGCUGGUUCUCCCCGAAAACUAUUGAGGUAGUGCCUCGUGUAUGACUCCAGGGGGUAGAGCACUGUUAUGGCUAGGGGGACAUGGCGUCUUACCAAACCAUGGCAAACUCCGAAUACUUGGAAGUUUGAGCACGGGAGACAGAGCACCGGGUGCUAACGUCCGGACUCAAAAGGGAAACAACCCAGACCGCCGGCUAAGGUCCCAAAUAUCGGCUAAGUGGAAAACGAAGUGGAAAGGCUAAGACAGUCAGGAAGUUGGCUUAGAAGCAGCCAUCCUUCAAAGAAAGCGUAAUAGCUCACUGAUCGAGUCUUUCUGCGCGGAAGAUGUAACGGGGCUAAGUCGAUAACCGAAGCCGCGGAUUCGCAGCAAUGCGAGUGGUAGGGGAGCGUUCCGUAAGCCUGCGAAGGCGGACCCGCGAGGGCCGCUGGAGGUAUCGGAAGUGCGAAUGCUGACAUGAGUAACGUUAAAGCGGGUGAAAAGCCCGCUCGCCGCAAGCCCAAGGUUUCCUGCUCUACGUUCAUCGGAGCAGGGUGAGUCGGCCCCUAAGGCGAGGCUGAGAAGCGUAGCCGAUGGGAAGCAGGUUAAUAUUCCUGCACCGCCGCCAAGUGCGAAGGGGGGACGGAGCAUUGAAGGUCAUCCGGGUGUUGGAAAUCCCGGUUUACGAGCGUAGGAGGUCGACAGGCAAAUCCGUCGACGAAUCUCCGAGGCGAAGGAUCGAGGGCCGUAUGGCUUGAAGUGACCGGAUGUGCUUCCAGGAAAAGCCUCUAAGCAUCAGCUUGGCGGGACCGUACCGCAAACCGACACUGGUGGGCGAGCUGAAUAUGCUCAGGCGCUUGAGAGAACUCAGGAGAAGGAACUCGGCAAAUUGACCCCGUAACUUCGGGAUAAGGUGUGCCUUUGUAGCGUGAAGGGAGAAACACCCGGAGCGUGAAGAGGUCUCAGAGAAUCGGUGGCUGCGACUGUUUACUAAAAACACAGCACUCUGCAAAGAUGAAAGUCGACGUAUAGGGUGUGAUGCCUGCCCGGUGCUGGAAGAUUAAUUGAUGGGGUGCAAGCCCUUGAUCGAAGUCCCAGUAAACGGCGGCCGUAACUAUAACGGUCCUAAGGUAGCGAAAUUCCUUGUCGGGCAAGUUCCGACCUGCACGAAUGGCGUAAUGAUGGCCAGGCUGUCUCCACCCGAGACUCAGUGAAAUUGAACUCGCUGUGAAGAUGCAGUGUACCCGCGGCAAGACGGAAAGACCCCGUGAACCUUUAC
rnacentral:rRNA from 1 species